GUACAAAGAUGUUCCAAUCGUCGUGGUGGGGGCGGUGUAGGGACGGCAGAGAAACAAUAUUCUUCGAGAAACAGUGAAGUUUAACUCCAAUCCAGCGAACCUCUCCGUGAUGUGGGACAUGUUUUGCAUUUGUCUGCAAGGCAAAUUUGUCCUUCUCAAGGCCCCAUUGGUUUGAAGAUGUGAGGCAAAGUGCCCCUGUUCAGUGCAACUGGAACUAUGACUUGAAUCCUGGAUUAUCUGUAAAACCGGAGAUCAUGUAACUUAUGGGCGCAGUGGCUGUCCACUCUUCAUGCCAGCUAAUUGAUAAGGAAUAGUCGAAGGAAUCAGGAAAUGAUUAUCAUGUUGGGUCCCUCGAGGAGUUCGAUAGAACAAAUCAGAGAUGUGGGCAUCACAGCACUUAUUUGCCCUUCAACUGAUUGGUUUGCUAGGCCAUUUCAGAGGAUAAUUAAGAAUCAAGCACAUUUUGUGGGUCUGGAGUUACAUGUAGGCCAGAUCGGAUUUUCCACUAGCCCCAAGAACAAUACUGUUUCAUCGAUCAAGCAGUAGGUGCAAACCAAAGCUUGGAGGGGAGGGGAGCAGGAGUGAACGUGUCUGCACCUGGAAGAUGGUGAAAUCAUCCACUGAGGGAUAUAGCGGGCAACUGCCCCGGAAAAGGUGGUCUCGGAAACACCAGCCAAGGUUGUUGGGCUACGACGCUCAACCCGUCAAAGAAGGCCUCCUGAGAGACUUGACUUGUAAAUAGUUAUUGUGUGAAUAACUGAUGUGUUUGAAGCUUGUUAGUUGUACUUUUAAGUAAAGGGGGAGGGAUGUGGUAAAGUGAGGUACCCUGUCCCUUUAAGAGAAGGCAAAUGUAUUGAUCAUGCAACAGCACUGACAAAUCACUGUACAGUGCAGGCAACUGGUAACUGUAAGUCUAGUUCUGGAGGUUUCUGAGUAAACGCGUAUGAUCUGGUGCUCUGCCUUAUGUCUCAGUAAACCAUCACUGUUUAUUCUUACAUCAAUCUCUCCCCGUUAUUAAUUGCAAGCAAUAAUUGAUGAGAACAUAGGAAAGCUUGCGGUUAGAGUUCUGUUGGCCAAUGAACUCACUUCCCCAAGCCAUAGAAGUAACUAUAGUAUGGACCACCCCCACACCUCGAUCCCGCAUUGGAACCUCCGUCUAACCUUCCCCUUGAUCCACAUGACUACCCCCACCGCUCGAAUACCUUCCCGUCAAUCUAAUCCCCCUGACUACAUCACCAAUCUCUGAAUAUCCUCCCGCACUCCCAGUUACCACCCCCCCCUCCCCCAUGACCAGCUGGCCCAUCCUACCCCCACCACUGACCACCUUAUCCCCAAUCCAUACUACUCUGUCCCUACUCCCAGACCACCCAACGCUCUGAUCCAGCCUACCCAACCCCCGACUGAUGACCCGACACCCACCAAUGACCAGCUGACCCAUCCUAACCCCCGUCCAGUGACCACCUUACCCCCAAUCCUUCUUAAUCCACCAACCAUAGACCACCUAACCCACUGAUCCAUCCUACCCCCUCCACUGACUACCCAAAUCCCCCCAACCCGACAUCCCCACUGACCAUCCAAACCCCACUCCCUGUACCCUCCCAAGACCUCCCGCCCCACCCCCCACACUGACCACUCGCUAUCGUGAGCCAUCCGAUUCCCCCACUAUAUCCACUUCCUGCCCCCUACAUUUACAAAAGUGAAUGAAUUCAUGAGACACUCCUUGCUUGCCAUAUUUUCAGCAAAUAAAUGGAAACAUUCAGAAUCGUGUAAAACAUGUUGACAGAACCUUUUGCUGAUAGAUUUCUAAGAAAAACUAGUGAAUUUUAGGAAUUUGAAACCAUACAGAUGAAUAUGGUUAAAUAAUUGAACUACAAAUCAAUUAUUCCUCCCCAAUAUGUACAUUCUGACCAUAAAAUGUCAGAAUUCAUCUAAUAUUUGCAUAAAUAAUAUAUUAUUUGGAAUUAAAACACUGAAAGGUCUACUGUUGCUCGAGAUUUUGGUGCUUGGCAUGGGGAAUGUUCAAGGAUUAUCACCAAAUAAUACCAGUAUGCUGCUUCUGGCUCACACAUUUUUAUUUUGUUGAGAUAUCAGGUGGAUUGGAUUCCUUUUCUGUGCAUUUGUACCAAAAACAUAUACCUGCUCUUUAUAAAUGGAUUCAUGAUAUUGUUACAUGACAGAGAGUCGUUCUUCCAGGAGAACAGAAUGACAGCUGCUAUAAUUUAUACACACAGCUGAAAUGUGAUCCAUUGCUUUGGUACAUAGGUCACAGAGCACAGAAAGAGGCCAACUGGCUCAUCAUGCCUGUGCUGCUUCUUUGUUAAAAUGCAAAACUAAUUUUUAUUCAGGAAAAAUACUAACGUUACAGGUGGUGGGGGGGGAAGAAAGAGAGAGAGAGAGAGAGAGGAGGAGGGAUCAUGAAAGUGUUUUAGAACAUGGGAGGGGUCCUCAGAAGUGAAAAGGUUGAGAACCCCCACAUCAGCAGACAGGUGGAUUAAUCAACACGACAGUCAUGCUGGAGAUUUUCUUCAUCUGAAAACACUCAAUUGUGAUGCUGCUUUAAAGUCUUGGUUAUAUCAUUAUUGGUACACUUAAAAAUUAAACCUGAUCUUAUUUUUAAUAAAAUGAAUUAAACAUUCUAAUGUAAUAGCGCAGUAAAACUCCAGGGCACAAAAAAAUAGAAAGAAGAAAAUUGACUCAAGUUACCAAUCAUUCAAUUCACUAAAUAUAAAAAAACAUUUUGAUUCAGUUAUGUGUCUGCCUAGUUAAAACAUCAACUUGAACAGGAUAUUGUAUCCCAUUGUUCAUCAUAAUACAUCUACAUCAAUGGAAUAGCCUCUUCACAAGCAAAUCUGAUUUUCUGUCUUCUUGCGAUUCCUGCCCUUCCAUCAAGAUGUAUUAACUUUGGAUCACCAAUCCCCAAUCUGCCUUGAAUCACAAUUCUACUAAUCAGCUUCAGAUCGCCUUUCCAGCCCCAGAGUCACCUUCAUGAAUUUUUUUCAUCUUCAAGAUUAGCUCCAGGGAGGAUAUCUUCAACUCUGAUCAUUCCAGGUCUACCUCUUCCCAAUAGACUACAUCUGUUCUGACUUACUGAUAAAUGUUCACACAUCCCCUUCCAAGAUCUUCCUACUUCCCCCUCCCCUCCACCGCCCCCUGGGAGCCCUUCUUUGUUUCUGGUUAACCAUCAUUAUUACCCACUGUAUUUCCAUUUGCACUUUUAUUAAAAAAACACUAUGUUCCUGCUAAAUUUGUUGUUCCUGUUCUACCAGCAGACAUGAAAUAACUGCAACCGACCUCAGCACCUCCACCUCCUUACUUUCCUUACAAUUUUGCUCAAUUUGUUUAUUUCCUCCUUUGCUCCAGUUGCCUUACCUUCAAACCACAUUCCGACCCAUGAGGUUGGUUGCAUCCCCUCCCCUGGUGAGGAGGUGGUGGUGUCUCUACCCUUUAAGUCCUCGCUCUGCCCUCUGGGAGAAAAUCAAACACCCAUUCCCUUGCUGCAGCCCCCUGAGCAGGGUCCCUCAGGGAUCGGUGAGGGUGCCACCCUUGCGGCGGUGCCCCACUCCGACCCAACCUUUACCCGCAAGAUGUCAUCUGGUCUGCCAGGGGAUUGCAGCAGUCCCUUCAUGGCCCCAAUAACUGGAUCACUGGAUGGUGGCGGGGAGGAAGGCCACCCUGCUCUCUCCCAACAUUUAACACUGGGCACCACCAUCUUAGGCCCGGAGCUCUUUCGGACUCACCAGGUGGCCCGGUGCCCGGGAGGGAGCAGAGAUCUGAGCCGCUGCCGCCCUCUGACCCAAAUCCCCAAGAGGAGACCAGAGAGGACACUUCUGCCCUUGAUCCUGGGGGUGGGAUUGAGGUGGAGGUGGAGCCAACUGGCAGCUCCGAACCAGCCACCAUACUCAAUACGAGGGAGGGGUCGGAAACUGGAGGUGACAGUCUGGAGGAGGACGGAGUUUCGGUGGUAAGCAACAGGGCCGACUUGGAGUUGUUGUCGGGUGAGAUGGUGAGUCCCCUGAUGCCCUCUACCGACUCUCCCCUCAUCCCCAUUAGGGAUCUCCAGGAUUUCUUAGCGUAAUUGCGGUCGAUGAGACAGGGUCCAGUCGGCCCUGGACUGGUGGCAUUCUUUUCCUCUUGUGUUCUGGUCCGCCCGCAAGGCCCUCAAGGCUCCUGCGCUGGACCGGAACGCUAAGAGGGUUCACACGUUUCUCGCUGGGGGCCUGAAGGAGAGGAAGACUUAAAAACAAAGUCCUCUACUUUUAUUUCAGGCGUAGCAUAUACUUCUGACAAUAAAGACUACCAUAGCUAGCCUCAACAUCCAUGGCAGCAGGGACGCACUGCGCAGGUUCCAGAACUUCUUGGUCCUCCGGGAUGGGAAGUAUGCAGUGUGCUUCCUGCAGGAAACCCAUACCGUUCCAGGAGACAAAGCUACGUAGCUCCUGGAGUGACGAGGGGGGGUCUACAUGAGUCACCUUGCCUCCAAUUCUGGCGAGAUGGCUAUCUUGUUGCCUGCACAUUUUCAGCCGGAGGUCUUGGGGGUCAAGGAGCCAGUGCCAGGCCGGUUGCUGCACCUUGCUAUGCUCCUGGAGAGCGCAACGCUUCACUUUGUGAACUUGUAUGCUCCCCUGGGCUCGCAGCAGCAAGCGAGCUUCUUUGAGGAAGUGUCCACUCAUCUGGGCUCCAUCGAUGCGGGUGAGGGCAUUGUCUUCGGCUGGGGGGUGACUUCAACUGUACCCUCAAGGCCCGGGACUGUCAUGGUAUUCAGCACCGCACACUAGGUGUGAGUAAGUUGCGGGACCUAGUUGGGUCCUUCAACUCGGUGGACAUCUGGUGAAAUCUCCAUCCCAACUCCAGCGUUUUCACUUUCGUGUCGGAACGUCCAGAUUUGACCGCCUUUACGUUUCAAAGGCGUACGUGUCCUGCGUUCCGUCAGCUGCUGUACGGUGGGCGCCAUGCACGGACCACCGUCUGGUGUGGGCGGAGCUCGCUCCAUUCUGCACUCAGACGGGGUCCGCUUACUGGCACUUUAACAACCUACUGCUGGAGGAUGAGCGGUUCUUGGGCUCAAUACGAGGGGGGGGUCCGUCAUUUCUGGCCCAGCUGGAAAAAGAAGCGGGGAGGCUUCCCCUCCUUGAGGCUAGGGUGGGACUUAGGCAAGGCUCAUGUCUGUGUCUUCUGCCAGAGAUGCGCGAGGGGGUCGACAAAGAUGCGGAAAUCCAGGGUCCAGGAGUUGGAGAAGGAAGUGCUCAACCUGGAGGCAUGUCUCCAUCAGCUUGACGCGGACCCGGCCCUGUGGUUGGUGUACGAUGAGAAAAAGGGCGCGCUGCGGGACCUGCAAUUCGUCGGGUCUUGCCUCGCUACAUGAGGUCACGGAUCCGGUUCCUCCAGGACCUCAACUGUGGUUCCCCGUUCUUCUACUUGCUGGAAAAAAGGCACGGGGCCUGUCAGCAGCUCCUUACGCUGCUGGCCGACGAAGGAUCUCUUGUCUCGGAUCCGGAGGGCAUCAGGGCCAUUGCCCGAGACUACUACACUGCCCUGUUCUCUCUGGAUCCAUCCAGCGAGGAUGCUCACAGAAUUUUAUGGGAGGACCUGCCACAGGUCGGCCCGGAGGGUGCCGGAAAGCUUGACUCCCCUAUAAGUCUGGGGGAGCUGACCGGCGCCCUUGACAGCCUCUCCAGGGGCAAAUCCCUGGGGCUGGACAGGCUGACCGUGGAGUUCUUCAGUGCGCUUUGGGACGCGACUACACGGGGGUCCUGGGGGAAGAGUAUUGCAACUGGGGAGAUGACCCUUUUGUGGCGCAGGGCAAUUAUUAUCCUGCUGCGUAAGGAGGGUCUCCGCCUCCUUAAAAACUGGCACCGUCUCCCUCCUCAGCAUGGAUUACAAAAUUUUUGCCAGGGCCAUGGCUUCUCACCUUGACACCGUGCUGGACCACAUGAUCCACCCUGUCCAGUCCUACACCGUCCCGGGCCGUACCACCUACAACAAUAUUCAUCUGGCCCGGGACACCAUUCAUUUUCCCCAGAGGGCUGGUCUGUCAAGCACCUUCUUGUCUCUUGACCAAGAGAAGGCGUUCGACAGGGUGGAUCACGAAUACUUAUUUGGGACUCUGUGAGCAUUUGGGUUCAGGUCGCAUUUUGUCACCCAGAUCCAACUUCUGUACGCUACCGCAGAGUGUCUAGUGAAGGUUAAUGGUCCCUCGUGGCGCCCCUUCGCUUGGGGAGAGGGGUGCGUCAGGGCUGUCCCCUGUCUGGCCAAUUGUAUUCUAUUUGCGUGAAGCCUUUCCUGCACCUCUUGCGGAGGAGGUUGUCGGGAUUGGUUCUGCACGGGCCGGGCAUCGGGGUGGUCCUUUCGGCUUAUACCGAUGACCUGCUCCUCAUGUUUAGUGACCCGGCUGACCUGCGGAGGAUGCGCGAGUGCCAGGAGGUCUACUCUACCAUGUCUUCUGCCAGGAUCAAUUGGGAUAAGUGUUCUGGACUCCUGGUCGGUCCAUGGCAGAU